UACGAAGGGGGCUAGCGUUGCUCGGAAUCACUGGGCGUAAAGCGCACGUAGGCGGAUUGCUAAGUCAGGGGUGAAAUCCUGGAGCUCAACUCCAGAACUGCCUUCGAUACUGGAAAGCUCGAGUCCGGGAGAGGUGAGUGGAACUGCGAGUGUAGAGGUGAAAUUCGUAGAUAUUCGCAAGAACACCAGUGGCGAAGGCGGCUCACUGGCCCGGUACUGACGCUGAGGUGCGAAAGCGUGGGGGAGCAAACAGG
rnacentral:rRNA from 1 species